GACGAACCGUACAAACGUUAUUCGGAAUCACUGGGCUUAAAGGGUGCGUAGGCGGCGCAGUAAGUUGGGUGUGAAAUCCCUCGGCUUAACCGAGGAAUUGCGCCCAAAACUACUGUGCUCGAGGGAGGUAGAGGUGAGCGGAACUUAGGGUGGAGCGGUGAAAUGCGUUGAUAUCCUAAGGAACACCGGUGGCGAAAGCGGCUCACUGGACCUCUUCUGACGCUGAGGCACGAAAGCUAGGGUAGCAAACGGG
rnacentral:rRNA from 1 species